rnacentral:lncRNA from 1 species
AAAAAAUACAAACGAUAAAAUAGAAUAAAAAUUGCACUAGAUAUAGAUGAAAGAUAUGAGAAAAAAAAAGUAUGAAUGAAGUACAUAAGAAGAAGAAUAAAAAUAUAAUGAAGGAGAUGAGAAAGUGUAGAUGGAGGAAAUGAGUGACUAUAAAUGAAAGAGAUGAGAAGGAGGAAUUAUAUAGAAAGAGAGGAAAGUUGCAAAUAUAUAAAAUUGCAAACAUAUUUUAAGAUGGUCAAAAUUUUUAUAUAAAUA